GAUGAACGCUGGCGGCGUGCCUAAUACAUGCAAGUCGAGCGAACAGACGAGGAGCUUGCUCCUCUGACGUUAGCGGCGGACGGGUGAGUAACACGUGGAUAACCUACCUAUAAGACUGGGAUAACUUCGGGAAACCGGAGCUAAUACCGGAUAAUAUAUUGAACCGCAUGGUUCAAUAGUUAAAGACGGUUUUGCUGUCACUUAUAGAUGGAUCCGCGCCGCAUUAGCUAGUUGGUAAGGUAACGGCUUACCAAGGCAACGAUGCGUAGCCGACCUGAGAGGGUGAUCGGCCAAAAUGGAACUGAGACAAGGGCCAGAAUCCUAAGGGAGGCAGCAGUAGGGAAUCUUCCGAAAUGGGCGAAAGCCUGAAGGAGCAAAGCCGCGUGGGUGAUGAAGGUCUUCGGAUCGUAAAACUCUGUUAUUAGGGAAGAAAAAAUGUGAAAGUAACUAUGCACGUCUUGAAGGUACCUAAUCAGAAAGCCACGGCUAACUACGUG
rnacentral:rRNA from 1 species